CCAGGAAUUCACGUACACGUUAAAAGGACUCUAGAAUCUGGACGCAUUGCCUGUUUUUUGAGAAGGGGAUUACUGAUGUGACAGAGGUGGGGCGCUGAGACCCAGCCUCAAGUGGCCACACGAGGAAGCCCAACAGAAGAACUGCCUUGCUGAACACAGACGAAAUCACUGGACUAAAGAACUAGAAGGGGGGAACGUUUAUUGUGUGAAGCCAUCAAAUUUGGGAGAUUAGAUCAUCAGUGGAUGAAUGAUAGACCCCCAGAUAUCUUCUGCUGGGCUCAGAAAGACUUUUGAAAACAAACAAGACCAUUUGGAUAGGAGAAACUGCUUUCAGUGACAUGAAAGUCACUGGGGCAAGUUCACUCCUUCUGUUGAUCGACCCACACAAGAUGAUGACAAAGUGGACAUCUGGGUCACGCUGAGGGAUUCUCCCAGGCUCCACAGUCAGUGAACUCUCGUCAGAGAGUCCUGCAUGGACCCUGU
rnacentral:lncRNA from 1 species